rnacentral:rRNA from 1 species
CCUACGGGUGGCUGCAGUGAGGAAUAUUGGUCAAUGGACGCAAGUCUGAACCAGCCAUGCCGCGUGCAGGAUGACGGCUCUAUGAGUUGUAAACUGCUUUUGUACGGGGGUAAACUCCGAUACGUGUAUCUGGUUGAACGUAUCUUACGAAUAAGGAUCGGCUAACUCCGUGCCAGCAGCCGCGGUAAUACGGAGGAUCCGAGCGUUAUCCGGAUUUAUUGGGUUUAAAGGGUGCGUAGACGGUUUGUUAAGUUAGAUGUGAAAUGUUGGGGCUCAACCCCAAAAUUGCCUUGAAUACUGUUGGACUUGAGUACAGUUGCGGUAGGCGGAAUGCAUGGUGUAGCGGUGAAAUGCUUAGAGAUCACGCAGAACACCGAUUGCGAAGGCAGCUUACCAAACUAUAUCUGACGUUGAGGCACGAAAGUGUGGGUAGCAAACAGGAUUAGAUACCCUUGUAGUC